rnacentral:rRNA from 1 species
UACGUAGGGCGCAAGCGUUGUCCGGAAUUAUUGGGCGUAAAGAGCUCGUAGGCGGCCUGUUGCGUCCGCUGUGAAAUCCCGGGGCUCAACCCCGGGCCUGCAGUGGAUACGGGCUGGCUAGAGGCAGGCAGGGGAGAACGGAAUUCCUGGUGUAGCGGUGGAAUGCGCAGAUAUCAGGAGGAACACCGAUGGCGAAGGCAGGUCUCUGGGCCGCAACUGACGCUGAGGAGCGAAAGCAUGGGGAGCGAACAGG